rnacentral:rRNA from 1 species
CGGGACGGGUGAGUAACGCGUGGAUAACCUGCCUCACACUGGGGGAUAACAGUUAGAAAUGGCUGCUAAUACCGCAUAAGCGCACAGUACCGCAUGGUACGGUGUGAAAAACCCAGGUGGUGUGAGAUGGAUCCGCGUCUGAUUAGCCAGUUGGCGGGGUAACGGCCCACCAAAGCGACGAUCAGUAGCCGACCUGAGAGGGUGACCGGCCACAUUGGGACUGAGACGCGGCCCAA